rnacentral:rRNA from 1 species
AAGGUGGGGAUGACGUCAAGUCAUCAUGGCCCUUACGACCAGGGCUACACACGUGCUACAAUGGCGCAUACAAAGAGAAGCGACCUCGCGAGAGCAAGCGGACCUCAUAAAGUGCGUCGUAGUCCGGAUUGGAGUCUGCAACUCGACUCCAUGAAGUCGGAAUCGCUAGUAAUCGUGGAUCAGAAUGCCACGGUGAAUACGUUCCCGGGCCUUGUACACACCGCCCGUCACACCAUGGGAGUGGGUUGCAAAAGAAGUAGGUAGCUUAACCUUCGGGAGGGCGCUUACCACUUUGUGAUUCAUGACUGGGGUGAAGUCGUAACAAGGUAACCGUAGGGGAACCUGCGGUUGGA